rnacentral:rRNA from 1 species
AGAACGAACGCUGGCGGCAUGCCUAAUACAUGCAAGUCGAACGAACACUUCGGUGUUAGUGGCGCACGGGUGCGUAACGCGUGGGAAUCUGCCCUUGGGUUCGGAAUAACAGUUGGAAACGACUGCUAAUACCGGAUGAUAUCGAAAGAUCAAAGAUUUAUCGCCCAGGGAUGAGCCCGCGUAGGAUUAGCUAGUUGGUGAGGUAAAGGCUCACCAAGGCGACGAUCCUUAGCUGGUCUGAGAGGAUGAUCAGCCACACUGGGACUGAGACACGGCCCAGACUCCUACGGGAGGCAGCAGUAGGGAAUAUUGGACAAUGGGCGCAAGCCUGAUCCAAGCAAUGCCGCGUGAGUGAUGAAGGCCUUAGGGUUGUAAAGCUCUUUUACCCGAGAUGAUAAUGACAGUAUCGGAAGAAUAAGCCCCGGCUAAACUCCGUAGCCAGCAGCCGC